GACGUAGGGCGCGAGCGUUAUCCGGAAUUAUUGGGCGUAAAGAGCUCGUAGGCGGCCUGUCGCGUCGACUGUGAAAACUCACGGCUCAACCGUGGGACUGCAGUCGAUACGGGCAGGCUAGAGUUCGGUAGGGGAGACUGGAAUUCCUGGUGUAGCGGUGAAAUGCGCAGAUAUCAGGAGGAACACCGGUGGCGAAGGCGGGUCUCUGGGCCGAUACUGACGCUGAGGAGCGAAAGCGUGGGGAGCGAACAGG
rnacentral:rRNA from 1 species